UGAACUGCUCAAUCAACAUGAGUUUCUUCUUCUAAUGUCUUUGGUGAACACUGACAGUAAGGUGUGCUGGCUUGGUUAAGUCGAAAGUACUGGGACUGGCAAGCGCUAUUUCUUCGUGUUCUUGUUCUCCUUCUCAGUAGGUGACAGUGUCUCAAGCCAUCAGCUAACAGCUCUGGAGCUCUGAUCCGCCGGAAUGCUGGCUGCUGUUCAGGAGAGAGCAGGUGCUCUGGCUGUGUGCUGGCGGCGGGGGACACCCUCCAAACACACAACUGCAUCUCCUACGUGUUCAGGAAAUGUACGAGAAAACAAGAAAUAUUUCCAAGUGGCAGAUACGGUGUAUGCAAAGAACACAGGCUCAUAUAAACAGACCCUUCCCAGUAAGAGCACUUCUUCUUUACGGGUCAUUUACAAAGCUAAUUGCCAUACAAGCCAAGUCUUCCCACUCCACAGUAUGGGCUUCUGCAGCACUUACAGCUUGCCUUCCUUGUGCUGCUGAAGCAAGCCCGUCCGCGCCUUGUUAGAGCAACACACCUGUUAUGCUCCUGAGGAAGAUUACUGAUGCCUGCAGGGACCGGCUGCGCAUGCUUAAAGCACAUAGAAGUAUAUGGGGGCUUUUGCUACUAUAAAAUAAAGGUGCU